CCCUUAGAUGUUCUGGGCCGCACGCGCGCUACACUGAUUCAUGCAACAAGUUUUGUCCUUGGCUGAUAGGCCUGGGUAAUCUUUGAACGUGAAUCGUGAUGGAGAUAGAUGAUUGCAAUUAUUCAUCUUCAACGAGGAAUUCCUAGUAAACGCAAGUCAUCAGCUUGCAUUGAUUACGUCCCUGCCCUUUGUACACACCGCCCGUCGCACCUACCGAUUGAAUGGUCCGGUGAAAUCUUCGGAUCUGAGAGAUGUCUGAUUAAUUUCGGACGCCUUUUGGAAAAGUUGUUUAAACCUUACCAUUUAGAGGAAGGUGAAGUCGUANCA
rnacentral:rRNA from 1 species